rnacentral:rRNA from 1 species
UACGGAGGGGACUAGCGUUGUUCGGAAUUACUGGGCGUAAAGCGCACGUAGGCGGAUUUGUAAGUCAGGGGUGAAAUCCCGGGGCUCAACCUCGGAACUGCCUUUGAUACUGCAAAUCUCUAGUCCGAAAGAGGUGAGUGGAAUUCCUAGUGUAGAGGUGAAAUUCGUAGAUAUUAGGAAGAACACCAGUGGCGAAGGCGGCUCACUGGUCCGGUACUGACGCUGAGGUGCCAAAACAUGGGGAGCAAACAGG